rnacentral:lncRNA from 1 species
GUGUCCACUUCUGACCAAUCAGAUUUCGUGUUGUUGCGACGUCAGAUUCACCGGUAUAUCCAACAUGGCCGACCGGCUGAUUGUUUAUGUGUCGGAGAACAGAGUGAUUUUUGAUAAAAGACACAAACAUUACAAAGAUAACGACCUGAAGGACGACUUGUGGAGAGUCAUAGCGUCGGAUUUCUCAUAUGACGAUGGUUUGUGAGCUUUAACAGUUUGAGAAACGUCUUUGUUUGAACUUUCAUCUGUGCUAAGUAACUUUAGCUCGUAAGCUAACCUGUUCAGAUACAACAUACCAUACGUAUUUUCACUGUAAACUCAAACUCAAUCACAGUGUUGUAUAUUUGCAUCAUUCUCUGUGUGUAAGGACCUUAAGAUUGAGGCUUCAUUGCUUCAAGAUUGAAUGUUCUACUUUUAGUUUUUCAUUAUUUUACAUAAAAUCUAAAAGGGAUGAUAUAAAAUACAAUCCCCAGUGCUGCUUUUUGGACAGCUUGCAUCCUGCAGUAAAUGUACAUGAUGCUCUGAUAGAUGAAAAUCUGAGCUCUCUGCAGCAGAGAGAUUAAAGAUUAUGUAUUUUAUGAUUGAUUUUAAUAGAGUUCUAUGAAAAAAAGAGCUAACCUGCUGUUCCCUCACUGAACCUCCUGCAGUGUCUGCAGGUAUCUGAUGAAUGUGUGGGGCUCUCAGCUCCUAAUUUCAGGUCUCGGUGGGCCUGUGUGGGGAGGAAUUUGUCUUUGUAAAUGCCAGGCGGUUCAGUAGAGCAGUAAUGAGAGUUAAUGUGUUGGUGGGGAGCAACAAUCAAUAAAAUGUGUUAUACCUGCAGGAUGGACUCUGUGUUAUGGCUGCAGGGAGGACAGUGCAGCCAGCGAGGAGGACUCAUCCUGCUGCUCUAUGUUUUCUAAACAUCUAAAUGCACUUCAGGUCAAAUUUUGAACCCGUGCAUGUAGAUGCUGCAGGGUCAUGUCUUUUUACUUAUUGCUGCUCUUUUUCCUUGAUUUGUUCUGCAGGAAAAACGAAAGCUUAAGUGGAAAACUGACGGAGGUGUGGUCUUGAUUUUGCCACUUUACUGUCCAAGAGAGAAGAUUUAUCCUUCAAAAAAAUCAGGCUUUUAUUUAUUCAUUUAUUCACUAAUUCAUUUUCUUUCUGUAUUCAUUUAUUCAUGCAUUCAUCUCCCUGUACUUGGCGUAAUUUGCUCUAAGGCCUAUGCUAACGUGUUUUAGCUGCAGAGCUAAAGAAGACAGAUUGGGAAAAUUAGCACUCCCUGGGGCUCUGCCAGUGUUGCCGUGGUUACCAGUGAACUGUAACCAUCACCUGAGCUUUUUUUGUUUGUUUUUUAACAUCCUUUUUUUUUCCUUCCACUCCACUACUUUUGUAUCUCCAAGUGCAGCUCAUCUUUUCAGAGUAGUCUCUUCAGGCGAGGACAGAUGGGAAUGGAAUUAGAUCACACCUGUACGACACUCGGAGUUCGUUAUUAGAGAUAACUCAGACUGCACAGAGUAUGCAAGUCCAGGAUGAACCUCUUCACACACCUAUAGACCCACAAGGACCGAGGAGAGGCCACUCAUACCUCGCCCUGAGUGACCGCUGAUAAUGCAGUGAUUCAAUGAGGAAAUGCUAAAGGGAUAUUCCGGCGUAAAAUAAAUUCAGGGUCAAACACACAGAGAUGAAUGUUGCCGACCGGUUGCUUCUCUAGUUAUACCAACUUUAGUAACGACCGCAGGAUAGCAAUACACAGCGGUCUGAGGAGCCAUAAACAAACCUCAACCAAAACACCACUCUAUAGCCACAAAUAAUGCUCAGAACAGCACCUAACUUCAUCAACAGGACAUAUAGGGUCACAGACAUAGUACUAGACACCAAACAUCUUUUUAACUUCGACUCAUUUCUUUAGCAAAGAGACUAAACACAACUCACCUACUCUGCAGGAGAUCUGCAGGGAGUAAUGAGCUACAUCGAGGAUAAAGGGGGGCUGCAGGUUUGUCUCGAACCAGGGCCUCCUGAUUUAUGAUCAAGUGUCUGUAAAUGAGACAUGCUAGCUGACCUUUGACUGUGAAAGUUUGGGGCCAAAUAUGUGAUUCAUUUGCACCAAAGGAGUUUUUAAAAAGUCCUUGCAUUCCAGCUCGGUCCUUGCAACACUUUCAAUGUCAGAGCCUUGAAUGGCCUUGUUGCAUUUCAAUGUAGGGUCGUAUAUUCAAGGAAGGAAGGACACUGCAGAGGUUUAUUAUCACCAAAUCAGCACCAGCUCCAUCCAGAGAGUUUUCAAUCUUUAUCAAAAUAUACUUUUUUUCAAAUUCUCAUGCUUCAAUAUCCAUAAAAGCAAUAUUCUGUGCUGCCUACAUGUGAUGUGAAGUAUUAGGGUGAAAAUAUUAAAUGCAUAUAAGAUAACCUCACUUUUUUAUAUGCAUUUCAGGGGAAUAGAGUCUUCUGCACAAACAUAUGUGGAUUUGAAAUGUAAAGAUAUUCAAAUGUUUGGACUCCUAACCAGCGUGGAUAAUCGUUGGCUUGGAAAAAAACAUGAAAUUAGUUUUUCUGGCGUUGAGUCUAAGACUGAUUAUGUUUAUUUGGCAUUUUUCCCACCACAUGUCGUUUGGCCGAUGAUCUGCUGGACAGAUCUGAGAGACAGUGAAUAUAAACGAACAUAAACUCUGAAAUGAUGAAGCUCCAGAUUUACCUCGGUGGAAACAGAGUGAAUCUGUAGGCUCUCAUUUUUGUUGUCUUUAUUCGCCUCUUUGUCUUAAUCUCCCCCGCGCUCUCUCUCUCUCUCCCCUGUGUCUCUCAUUCCUUGCUUUAACUCUUCUAUAACUCUUUCUCUCUUGUUGCAGCGGGCUCCGGCAGCACAUAAUCAUGGUUUAUGAUGCUUUUGCAGAGUCUGAAACACAUCCAGGAGAAGGUCAGAGGGGCAGCACGAUGGAGACGGAGGGAUUGGGAGGUCAGAGAAGAGAGGAAGAGGAGAGGGAGAUGGUGCGAUUUGUUUGCCGACUGAAUCCAGAGGUGAGCAGAGAGG